GAUGAGCGCUGGCGGCGUGCCUAAUACAUGCAAGUCGAGCGAACAGACGAGGAGCUUGCUCCUCUGACGUUAGCGGCGGACGGGUGAGUAACACGUGGAUAACCUACCUAUAAGACUGGGAUAACUUCGGGAAACCGGAGCUAAUACCGGAUAAUAUAUUGGACCGCAUGGUUCAAUAGUGAAAGACGGUUUUGCUGUCACUUAUAGAUGGAUCCGCGCCGCAUUAGCUAGUUGGUAAGGUAACGGCUUACCAAGGCGACGAUGCGUAGCCGACCUGAGAGGGUGAUCGGCCACACUGGAACUGAGACACGGUCCAGACUCCUACGGGAGGCAGCAGUAGGGAAUCUUCCGCAAUGGGCGAAAGCCUGACGGAGCAACGCCGCGUGAGUGAUGAAGGUCUUCGGAUCGUAAAACUCUGUUAUUAGGGAAGAACAAAUGUGUAAGUAACUAUGCACGUCUUGACGGUACCUAAUCAGAAAGCCACGGCUAACUACGUG
rnacentral:rRNA from 1 species